AAGCGAGGUGCUGUGCGUGUGUGGUUUGCAAGUUUUAUGAAAGGUUUUGGACAUUUAGAUGUUUAUAUAUCUGAGGUAUUUCAGUUAUGCCUUGCUUCCUCUUUCAGUUGGGCGGAGGUGCUCUUUAGCAGCGUAGCGUCAAGCUUACUUUCACUUUGUCCUCGUUUCAUCCUGCAUUUCUAUUCGAAACAUUUUGAUGUGACUGUCGGUGCUGUGUGGGGAAUAUACAUUCAUCCCACUUUAGACAUUAAACCAAAUGGAAGAAGAGAGCUGUUGUGCAGACGAUUUAUUGGAGUUCCUGCGCAUCGAUGUGGCGCUCGAGCCCUUGUGUGACAGACAGCAGACCACGUGCUCUAAGAAUGUCAUGCGCAAGCAGCGCAACUGGGAGAGGAGGCUGGAGGCGAAGAGAAG